GAUGAACGCUGGCGGCGUGCCUAAUACAUGCAAGUCGAGCGAACGGACGAGAAGCUUGCUUCUCUGAUGUUAGCGGCGGACGGGUGAGUAACACGUGGAUAACCUACCUAUAAGACUGGAAUAACUUCGGGAAACCGUAGCUAAUACCGGAUAAUAUUUUGAACCGCAUGGUUCAAAAGUGAAAGACGGUCUUGCUGUCACUUAUAGAUGGAUCCGCGCUGCAUUAGCUAGUUGGUAAGGUAACGGCUUACCAAGGCAACGAUGCAUAGCCGACCUGAGAGGGUGAUCGGCCACACUGGAACUGAGACACGGUCCAGACUCCUACGGGAGGCAGCAGUAGGGAAUCUUCCGCAAUGGGCGAAAGCCUGACGGAGCAACGCCGCGUGAGUGAUGAAGGUCUUCGGAUCGUAAAACUCUGUUAUUAGGGAAGAACAUAUGUGUAAGUAACUGUGCACAUCUUGACGGUACCUAAUCAGAAAGCCACGGCUAACUACGUG
rnacentral:rRNA from 1 species